rnacentral:sRNA from 1 species
GCUGGGUGCAGUGGUGCACGCCUGUAAUCCCAGCAGCUCAGGAGGCUGAGGCAGGAGGAUUGCAAGUUCAAAGCCAGCCUCAGCAAUUUAUUGAGGCUUUAAGAAACUUAGUGAGACUGUGUCUAAA